rnacentral:rRNA from 1 species
UUUUGACCUCGGAUCAGGUAGGGAUACCCGCUGAACUUAAGCAUAUCAAUAAGCGGAGGAAAAGAAACCAACAGGGAUUGCCCUAGUAACGGCGAGUGAAGCGGCAACAGCUCAAAUUUGAAAUCUGGCUCUUUUAGAGUCCGAGUUGUAAUUUGCAGAGGGCGCUUUGGCUUUGGCAGCGGUCCAAGUUCCUUGGAACAGGACGUCACAGAGGGUGAGAAUCCCGUACGUGGUCGCUGGCUAUUGCCGUGUAAAGCCCCUUCGACGAGUCGAGUUGUUUGGGAAUGCAGCUCUAAAUGGGAGGUACAUUUCUUCUAAAGCUAAAUAUUGGCCAGAGACCGAUAGCGCACAAGUAGAGUGAUCGAAAGAUGAAAAGCACUUUGGAAAGAGAGUCAAACAGCACGUGAAAUUGUUGAAAGGGAAGCGCUUGCAGCCAGACUUGCUUACAGUUGCUCAUCCGGGUUUUUACCCGGUGCACUCUUCUGUAGGCAGGCCAGCAUCAGUUUGGGCGGUAGGAUAAAGGUCUCUGUCACGUACCUCCUCUCGGGGAGGCCUUAUAGGGGAGACGACAUACUACCAGCCUGGACUGAGGUCCGCGCAUCUGCUAGGAUGCUGGCGUAAUGGCUGUAA